UACUGCAUAUUUUAGUGCUUUAAAAGUGAUUAUUCUCAAGUGUCACUACACCAAAAUAAUGUUUUACCGGCAAUUUCUUAAAGAUGGUUUCAAAUAGUGCCACUAAAUUAUAAAUGUAAAAGUUAACGACGCUAUCUAGAGACGAGUUUUAAUUUCGUAGAAACUUAUAGAGUUAUUCUUCGUGGUGCUCAAAGUUAAGAUUACUGUCUCGGUAAUCGAUUGUGAGGAUCUCUCAGUCACGAAGCUAGGGGUUUUGGUUAGUUAUCUUUAGUGCUCCAAAUAAAUAUGAUGUACUUGACAAAUUGCUGUAUUUUUUAAUAGAAGCUAGUGGGAAUUUACUAGUUACUUUGAUAUAUUCUCACAAGUUGAACCGGUGGUCGCAUGAAACCAAAAAUAUGCACAGGGUUUAGAAAUGUAUUAUGAAUGGAUUAUAUCUAGCCCUUAUUUGGUGCUUCACAUGGAGCUUCUCUUCUAACAUCUAUUGUAUCUUACUUUUUAAGGACUGAAACUUGCAGCUGAGAGUGGAACUCCAAAUAUUAAUUUCUACUUCAACUUACACAUUACAGUUAAGGGUAUGAAUUAAGUAGAAGUUUCAUUGAGGGUGUGAA